rnacentral:rRNA from 1 species
GAUGAACGCUGGCGGCGUGCCUAAUACAUGCAAGUCGAGCGAACGGACGAGAAGCUUGCUUCUCUGAUGUUAGCGGCGGACGGGUGAGUAACACGUGGAUAACCUACCUAUAAGACUGGGAUAACUUCGGGAAACCGGAGCUAAUACCGGAUAAUAUUUUGAACCGCAUGGUUCAAAAGUGAAAGACGGUCUUGCUGCCACUUAUAGAUGGAUCCGCGCUGCAUUAGCUAGUUGGUAAGGUAACGGCUUACCAAGGCAACGAUGCAUAGCCGACCUGAGAGGGUGAUCGGCCACACUGGAACUGAGACACGGUCCAGACUCCUACGGGAGGCAGCAGUAGGGAAUCUUCCGCAAUGGGCGAAAGCCUGACGGAGCAACGCCGCGUGAGUGAUGAAGGUCUUCGGAUCGUAAAACUCUGUUAUUAGGGAAGAACAUAUGUGUAAGUAACUGUGCACAUCUUGACGGUACCUAAUCAGAAAGCCACGGCUAACUACGUGCCAGCAGCCGCGGUAAUACGUAGGUGGCAAGCGUUAUCCGGAAUUAUUGGGCGUAAAGCGCGCGUAGGCGGUUUUUUAAGUCUGAUGUGAAAGCCCACGGCUCAACCGUGGAGGGUCAUUGGAAACUGGAAAACUUGAGUGCAGAAGAGGAAAGUGGAAUUCCAUGUGUAGCGGUGAAAUGCGCAGAGAUAUGGAGGAACACCAGUGGCGAAGGCGACUUUCUGGUCUGUAACUGACGCUGAUGUGCGAAAGCGUGGGGAUCAAACAGGAUUAGAUACCCUGGUAGUCCACGCCGUAAACGAUGAGUGCUAAGUGUUAGGGGGUUUCCGCCCCUUAGUGCUGCAGCUAACGCAUUAAGCACUCCGCCUGGGGAGUACGACCGCAAGGUUGAAACUCAAAGGAAUUGACGGGGACCCGCACAAGCGGUGGAGCAUGUGGUUUAAUUCGAAGCAACGCGAAGAACCUUACCAAAUCUUGACAUCCUUUGACAACUCUAGAGAUAGAGCCUUCCCCUUCGGGGGACAAAGUGACAGGUGGUGCAUGGUUGUCGUCAGCUCGUGUCGUGAGAUGUUGGGUUAAGUCCCGCAACGAGCGCAACCCUUAAGCUUAGUUGCCAUCAUUAAGUUGGGCACUCUAAGUUGACUGCCGGUGACAAACCGGAGGAAGGUGGGGAUGACGUCAAAUCAUCAUGCCCCCUAUGAUUUGGGCUACACACGUGCUACAAUGGACAAUACAAAGGGCAGCGAAACCGCGAGGUCAAGCAAAUCCCAUAAAGUUGUUCUCAGUUCGGAUUGUAGUCUGCAACUCGACUACAUGAAGCUGGAAUCGCUAGUAAUCGUAGAUCAGCAUGCUACGGUGAAUACGUUCCCGGGUCU